AUUUCCGGACGUUAGCAGCGCUCCGCGGGGAGCAAAAAUGAAGGUUCCUUCCGCCUCUAACGGGUUCCGGUAACCGAAAAGGAACAGCUACGGAGGUACACCGUCAGGGGGACUGCUAAAGGCGGGUGCUUUCUGCACCCACGAAUACUUAGGGGACAUCCAUGGAUGACUUGGGAGAGUCACAUAAACCCAUAGCAACACAUCUUCCCUGGAAAAUCAAGUAUUUGGUUUCUGUGGGGCAGGAAUCUGGGAACUGCUUAGCCGGAUGUUCUGGCUCAGACUGUCUCAUGAAGUUGCAGACAAGAAGUCAAGAUGGCUGUAGUCAUCUCAAGGAGGAUUCAAUUUCAGACUCUCAUGGCUGUUAGCAGAAAUCCUUAAUGCUUCUCAAACUUUUGGAUUAAGGCCCCUUAGAUCCUUACCACCUGGGUUCUCCAGAGGGCUGCUUGUGGCAUGACAGCUGUCUUCCUCCAAACGUUUCACAGGGGCUAUAUAAAUCCUGAAUGAGAAAAUGUGUUACGUCAAUUUCUAGCUUGAAACACAGCCACUCUUCAUCUGCUCUAUGGUGUCAUCCAAUACCUCAGUAAAGCUGAAAAAAAAAUCCCCUUUCAUUACAAAGUUUUUCACUUCUCAUACUCAUCAAUGAUAGUUUGAAAUAUUGAUACAAUGGGAAAUCAUUGGUUGGCCUAAGAUAUUUAUUCUCAUUGUUGGUUCAUAUUACGAUUGAUUGAUGGUGAAUAUUAAUUUUUAAAUGAAACAGCAUCGUACUUACGGCAAUAGAAUAUGUUAACAUUCUUUGAACUCCUAUUUUCAUACCAAGCAUUGCAUCCAUGUACUUCUCAUACAUAUUGUCUCAUAUUUUCAAGAAUGUGUCUAUUUCCUUAUGAAAGUCUCCUUAAAAAAAUGUUGGAAAAUGAGUUCUUAUGAAUAUAAAAUGUUUGAGUGGGAAUAUAGGGGUGAGACAGUUCAGGCUAUGGAUCUGAACAACGUGGACUCACACUCGCUUUCCCAUUUUUUGUACUGGGACAUCCUGGCACUUUUCCCAAAUGUGUUUUAGUUUCUGCAUCUGAAAAAUGACAUAUUAAAAAUAAAGCACUUAUCUUUAAAGAAUCAAAUGAGAUGUGAUUAUAUAAAAUAUUUAUAGUGCCUAGCAUUUAGGACUCAUUAGUAUUAAUUAUUAUUAUUCCUAUAUGAAAAUUUGCAUUACUGUGAAUGGGUAAAAUCUUGACACUUUUAGUUGAUAGGUUAUUCAUAUUGAUUUUGUUACUGACCGUCUAUGAAUUUUUAACUUCAAGUGGAGGAUUUCACUUACCCACUUACCAUUAAUUAAAACAAAACAAGAAUCUAUCUGCUGGUUGCAGUCAGUAUGUAUCACUUCAAAUCUGACCACAUGAGGGCAGCAUGGUACCUUUUAAGAAAGGGACAUAGCCUGGAAUGGAGAAAAAAAAAUCUACUAUUAAAGCUAUGGAGUUCAUGGAUAUAAAAUUAAAACUAGAGGACUCCAUAAUGAUUCUCUAAUCCAAAUUUUCACUUUACAGUAGAAGGAACGAAAGUCCAAAGAGGCCAUUUAGCAAGUCCCCUGUCACACAAUUGAUGUCGGGUUGACAGUAGAGCAGAGAACAGAUAAAUAGCACUUCUGGUAGCAACUAUAAUUGCAUUAUUGGAGCACCUAAAUACUCUGAGAGACUUUUUAUUAUGCAUUAAUGUUUUGUGUGACAAUAUUUUAGAGGAAAUAGAAUAUUUCUGAUUAUGAAGUAGCCACAGGAAUGUUCCUUUCUGGAGAAAUAGAAAAUAAAAAGAGAAUCUCAUUUCUGGAUGACUUAAGUGUAUACUCGCAGGCAGACGAUUGAACUGUAUGGCUUCUCACGGUUGCCAUUAAUAUUUUGCUCACAACCAUGUGUUCGUGAGUUGCAUAGAAACUGUAGCAGUAUCUCCAAAAAGCAGGAGCUAGCAAAGGAAGAGGGCACACCAAUUUUGCCUAGUAAAUUUCCCCAUUUUUUAACCUACUUUUUCACCUUUGUCCACUUCC